UACGAAGGGGGCUAGCGUUGUCCGGAAUCAUUGGGCGUAAAAGCGCGCGUAGGUGGCCCUGUAAGUCCGUUGUGAAAGUCAAAGGCUCAACCUUUGAAAGCCGAUGGAUACUGCAGGGCUAGAGUACGGAAGAGGCGAGUGGAAUUCCUGGUGUAGCGGUGGAAUGCGCAGAUAUCAAGGAGGAACACCAAUAGCGAAGGCAGCUCGCUGGGACGUUA
rnacentral:rRNA from 1 species